UUUUUUUUGAGUCUAAACACACUCGACUUUAUUGAUUAUAAAAGUUCAUAGAAAUACAAUGUAGAUCCGGCGGAUUAAGGAGCCAUACAUGACGUCCUAAAAAAAGGCCUAGAGUAUGUUUAGCGAGGCUAUGUGCCUCAAGAUUAGUUUCUCUUCCUUCGAAGAUGAAGGAACAGCGAGAGAACUGCUGAGAUGUAAGAUUGAUCUCCUUAAUAAUGCUAGAAUGUAGCCCAUCCAUAUUUUCAUGGAUAUCUUUGAUCACAUCUUGACAGUCUAAACCUAUCUGUAUGUCUUUAAGUGAUAAGUCAAGAGCAAGUGAGAGCGCUUCUCGAUAAACCAAUGACAUCUAUAAGUGAUAAAAAAAUGUUUUACACAAGGCAAUCCACGCCUGGGCCAGCCCAUGCAGUAGGGACCUCCUAUACUGCGCUCUGGCGCUGGGAGAAGACGCAGCGCCUGUUUGGGCCAGCCCAUGUCUGGACGGUCUUUUUAAAUUUCGUUUAUUAGUAUUAUUUUUUAUUUUUCUACUUUAAAUAUUUGGGACCUAAAAAAUGUUCCAAAAAUUAAAUUUAAUUUUUAAAUAAAAUGUUUGUCGAUUCAAAAAAUGUUUGCGAUUUUGUAAAAAAUGUUUGCUUAUUCAAAAAAUGAUUGUAAUUUAAAAAACAAAUGUUCGGGAAAUCAAAAAAUGUUCAUGAUUUUUAUAAAUUUCUUGUAUUAAAGACUGUUAAUUAAAUUGAACAAAAUUUUGUAAAUUCAAAAAUAUUCAUGAAUGGAAAAAUAUCCUAAAAAUUCAAAAAUUAUUCAUGACUUACGAAAUAGUUUAUUCAUUAAUAAAAUGUUCACUGAUUCAAAAAAUGAUCUUGCAUUUCAAAAAGUGUUCGUUAAACAAGAAAAAUGUUUGUUAUAUCAGGAAAAUAUUUGUGAGUUUCAAAAAUUAUUCCACCAAUUUCAAAAAAAAUCGUAGAUUCUAGAAAUGUUCGCUAUUCAAGAAAAUUAUUUUAAAAAAUGUUCACAUUUUUUAAAUUUUUUUUGAAAUAGUAUAAUUUUGUUAUGAAUUCAAAAUGCGUUCUUUAUUUUAGAAAAUGUUCAAAAAUUUGUAAAAUUGUUCACGAAUUUAAAAAAUAUUCAUGAUUUCAAAUAUGUGCACGAGUUUAAAAAAAUGUUCCUGAUUUCACAAAAUUGAGAGUGAUAGUGUAUCUUGGUGAUGCAUCAAAAUGUGGUCAUGACCAUUGGAAAUUGUAAGGCAGAUUUUAGAACCCCAAGGAUUCAAUGGUAUAUGGAUAUGGAAAAUAUAAGAUUUCCAAUCCUAGUGGGGAAAGGCGGGGAACAAAUACUCAAUAGGAUAGGAUCCUUGGUAGGAACUUUUGGUAAUAGUUUUCUAGCAAGGGUAUGCUGAUAUGGCAGCCACGUCGUCAGUUUUUUACCUUCCGGGUCGGCUUUGGCAAGUCCCAUUCAUAGCGUUGUAUUUUAUUUUAUUUUUCCUCCAUAAAAAACCAGCCACUUUGUAAAAAGGUCCCCAUAAAUAAGUUAGUUAGCGAGCAAGCAAAGGGUACGCUAACAUGGCAGCCACGUCAUCGGCUUUUUACCUUCCGGAUCGAUUUUGACCUUCUUUGAUCAAAUUAAUGAGUUACUGGACUAAAUCCGAUCCCUUUUUGAGUUGUUGGCCUAAAAUGUGCAACCAAUUACUCACUCUUUCAAAACCAAUCUUAUGUCUUCUUUUGUUUUGAAAUAAUUAAAGUUUUAGAAUUAUCCUAAGUCAAACUUCAUUGAAUUUGAUUAAGUCUCAGAAAUAGAAGCUUACAGCUCGCCAAAUAGUGGGAUCAUCGGUGAUAUAAAACGUCUUCUCCACUAGGAUGGAAACUUUACCAUCUCGACCAUAUGUCUCUCGUGCAACGGUGUAGCUCAUGAUCUUCUUUUUUUCUUUUCCAAAAAUGAUCCAGUCUAUUAUUAAAGUUCAUCAGAAGUAUAAAGCACCUUAAACAUAAUAAAAACUACAUCAAAAUUCUAAGAAAAAAAUGACCAUUGCCGCUCUCAGAACAAGCUACCGAUGCGUCAUUGCCACCGCUUCCUGAGACCACCGAACGACCACUACCGCCGCCAGAACAAACCGCCGACAUGCCACUGCCGCCACUAUCGGAGCCGGUUUGAUCUUGUUGAUGACAGCUGGGAGGUCUUCGUGUACGUGCCCCUAAGGACCAAUAUCUUGAAGCCGCAAUUGUUGAACCCUUAAACAGAUUUAAAGUAUCCGAUACCAAAUCUUGUCACAUAACAAGAAACCCAAAUCUCACCGCUCCAAGAAGACUACACGAAUCUACGCCGGGCCUCCGUUAAGUACAUCCAUGAACGAACUCGAGAAAGAUCAGAGGUCGAAAUACAAACUCGAAUAAGAAGCGCCGCCGUCCGUAAACUAAAAACUCAUAACCUAAACCAGGCAACCGGGUUCUUCUCCUCGCCGGAGCAACAGAGAGAAGACGAAUUCAUGGGUCGCCGACAAAGAGAGGUGGCUCAUGGUUUUCCUCAGCUUGGUUAUCACAACAAUGAUGUGGUUUAUGGUCUUGUGUGGCUUAUGGUCCUGCUCAGCUUGGCUUAUGGUCCUGCUCAGCUUGGGUAUCACAACAAGCGCACUACGGUGUGGCUUAGAUCCGGGUCCCUCAUUCGCUGUAGUCUAACCACAAUGGUUAAGCAAUGGAAUCUUUUAUUCUUGCAUUUUCUAUUAAGUCUAUAUAAAAAUAUAUAGACAUCUAUAACAUCAAAUUUACUGUGAGAAUAUAUUUUCAUAUUAUAUAUAUUUUAUAUUGUAGACCUCAAUAGAUUUUUCUUUAGACAUGGUCAUUUUUCUUAAGAAAAUCGUAGAACUAUAAUUAUUUUGCAACAAGUAAAACUUGUAACAAGCCAAAAGACUUCAAGUACAUUUAGGAAAGGAGAAAAUAGCACACAUAAACUAUUUAUUCGUUCUUACACACUGAUGCGAGUACGUAGGUAAAUACACACGACACGUCCACAUAUGACUGAUCACGGCACAGCGGCACUUAUUUAUGGCUAACUCGGUAGCUAGCUCUACUACUUGUGCAUCAGCUCACGACUAGUGGCGCGUCGACGCGUCGGCCAUCGAUCAGGCGGUCGCCGAGCCGCAUGAAGCGCAGUUGCAGGCCGCGCCGCAGGAGCAGUUGGCCCUCCUGUUCGCCCGCCCGGACGGCGUCCCCUCGCGCCCGCACGCGCACGGGUUGCAUCCACAGUGCUCGCCGCACCCGCACGUCGUGUGCUCCCCCGCCGCCGCGCCGCUCCUCGCCGAGGUGCACCUGCAGCCCGUGCCGCCGGGGCACGGCACGGCGCACCCGCACUUGUCGUCGCAGCCCAUCUCGAUCUCCGGCGUGCCUUGUUCGCAGUAGCUCUUCUCAGUUCACCACUAUGACC
rnacentral:lncRNA from 1 species